CAGUCGCCGCGGGAAUACGUAGGUCCCGAGCGUUGUCCGGAUUUAUUGGGCGUAAAGCGAGCGCAGGCGGUUCCUUAAGUCUGAUGUGAAAGCCCCCGGCUCAACCGGGGAGGGUCAUUGGAAACUGGGGAACUUGAGUGCAGAAGAGGAGAGUGGAAUUCCAUGUGUAGCGGUGAAAUGCGUAGAUAUAUGGAGGAACACCAGUGGCGAAGGCGACUCUCUGGUCUGUAACUGACGCUGAGGCUCGAAAGCGUGGGUAGCAAACAGGAUUAGAUACCCGCGUAGUCCCUGUCUCUUAUAC
rnacentral:rRNA from 1 species